AUACGGAGGAUGCAAGCGUUAUCCGGAUUUAUUGGGUUUAAAGGGUGCGUAGGCGGUUUGCUAAGCGGGAGGUGAAAUGCCGGCGCUCAACGUCGGAAGUGCCUCCCGAACUGGUGGACUGGAAUGACUCUGCCGUGGGAGGAAUGUGUAGUGUAGCGGUGAAAUGCUUAGAGAUUACACAGAACACCGAUUGCGAAGGCAUCUCACGAAGGGGUGAUUGACGCUGAGGCACGAAAGCGUGGGGAUCAAACAGGAUUAGAUACCCUGGUAGUCCACGCAGUAAACGAUGAUGGCUAACCGCUGGUUUAUUCGGAUCAGUGGCCAAGCGAAAGCGAUAAGCCAUCCACCUGGGGAGUACGACCGCAAGGUUGAAACUCAAAUGAAUUGACGGGG
rnacentral:rRNA from 1 species